rnacentral:lncRNA from 1 species
GGCAUGAGCAAUGGAUGGGAAUCAGGCAAGGGACCUGAGGUAGAGACAGAGGCCAGACGACAAGGGGAUUCAUCGCUCCUGGGGAUGGCUGUCUCUAGCUGCCUGCCCUUCAUGCCAUGAGCCUGGUUGGUACUCAGGAUUGAAUGACGUGCUUCCAAUGUACUGAAGCUUCUGUGUUUGCUCCCUGGCUUGGCCAAUGUGGACUUCUGUGUCUUGUACCACUUGUGGCAUGGGAACUGCCAUAAUUACGUAUGAUUUGCAGAUAGAGAAACUGAAGAACAGAGGUUAAAUUACUUCCUGGAGAUUAUACAGCGAAUAAGUAGAGGAUUCCAGACUUGAAUCACCAGCCUUCUUCUCAAAGUUCCUGCUUCGGCCUAUACUGUGCAGCCUGGAAUUGUUUUGUAAAACUGUGUUCUCUCUGGCUAACAGCCAAAUCUGAAAGUGAGUGGGCUGGUCUAGAGGGUAACAAUGUACAAACCAAUUCUUUGAUGUAUGCCAAAAAAGUUUAAUGUUUUGCAAGUACACAAUAGUUGAGAACCUAUAAUUUGGAACAUCCCAUUGCUCUUAUCCAGAAGGCAAGAGGUCCGCCAGCUCCUUCCUCCUACCUAGGGAUGCAAGAAUUAGAUCCUAGAACGGGGAGUCUGAGAACAGCAGAUCUGUGAACUUGACUGAGAGCCCCCAAAGGAGUUCAAGAAGCCUUCAAGUUUGUGUGGAAAUUUGUUGCCUCUACCAGAAGACUGCAGAUACCCAGCAGUGAGGCAGGAGAGAAACUGGAGUCCGGUUACCUGAAUUCAAGACUUGCCUUUUCCACUCAUUAGUUAGAUGGCUUUGGGAAAGUUCCUUAUUAUGUAACCUCUUCAUUUCUCACUUAUAAAAUGGGAUAGUAAUGGUGCUUGCUUUUGAGAGUCCUUGCAAGUUUCUGGAUAAUGCAUUCUCAUAAUAAGCACUCAAUAGGUGGGUGCUUUUGUUUGUAAUAUACUACUAGCAGCCCAGAAAUCACUUCCUUCCCCACAAAUUUGCCUUUUUUUCUUAAUGUCCUCUUAUCAUCUAUAUAGAUUAUUAAUCUAGCAAAGACAAGAUAUUUAUUUAGCAGUAUGAGC